ACGGAAGGCAGCAGUGGGGAAUAUUGGACAAUGGGGGAAACCCUGAUCCAGCGACGCCGCGUGAGUGAAGAAGUAUUUCGGUAUGUAAAGCUCUAUCAGCAAGGAAGAAAAUGACGGUACUUGACUAAGAAGCUCCGGCUAAAUACGUGCCAGCAGCCGCGGUAAUACGUAUGGAGCAAGCGUUAUCCGGAUUUACUGGGUGUAAAGGGAGCGUAGACGGCAAAGCAAGUCUGAAGUGAAAUCCCGGGGCUCAACCCCGGAACUGCUUUGGAAACUGUUUAGCUAGAGUGCAGGAGAGGUAAGCGGAAUUCCUAGUGUAGCGGUGAAAUGCGUAGAUAUUAGGAGGAACACCAGUGGCGAAGGCGGUCUACUGGACGAUAACUGACGCUGAGGCGCGAAAGCGUGGGGAGCAAACAGGAUUAGAUACCCUGGUA
rnacentral:rRNA from 1 species